CCUCAUGUGUCUACAUUCAAAUUUUGAAACCACUUUUAAAUUUUUAAACGCUUUUUUUUAAUAUUUUCGUUGCGAAAAAGAAGCAUCUACAUGUUUGAGCCGGACCGUGGCCAUGACUGUGGGGAAGCUCAAGCUUGGGCCCACCCCCUUCGCACCGUGCGCGUGCGCCCUAGCCGCGACCAUGCCUCCACAACACAGUGCAUGAACACGUGUGAGCUUCACCUAGGCAUGGCCGCUGCAGGUAAAGCUGGUAUAAAUCCACCAUGGAUAAUUACUAUAUGAGCGUUUGGAGAUGGGCCAAUUUUAAUCCUCACAGAGAUUAUAUGGGUCAAAGAGCUUAUCCAGUGGUUAGGACGGUGACGAAGGAUAUGAGACAACAUUACCCGUACCCGUCAUUGGCCUUACCCGUGAAAGGCCACACAUAUAGGCCCUAAAACCAGUAGACGUUAGAUAAUUCUCGUCCACCCACCCAAAUUUCAUCCCAUCGCAUCUAUUUUCCUUAAAAAUUCCAAAGAAAACCAUAAUGUAGCUACAAGAGAACCCCAAAUGACCUUAUAUUUUGCUUGUUGUGUUGAAUUGAGGUUUUUUUUUCUCCUGAGAUGUUAUUGGAUGUUGUCACUGAUUGCGGGUGUCGGUUUCCUCGCGAGGAUGCAAAUUUUUAUAUCCUACUAAAUGUGGACGGUGAUGAGAGUCCAAUAUCCAAAUACAUGGUUGGGUAAUCCUUAUUGUCAACUUGAGAUGUAAGCAUGUGUCUUGAGAAGAGGAGAGAACAUAUAUAUGAUAAAACUGGCAAAGGGGAGGAGAAAAGAUUUGUGGAGUCCAUAGGACACGUGUAGCAUGGAGAAGGCAACGGACCCGCGACGCAUUUUUAGCCGGCUGAACAGAAUCAUUUCUCUUUACUCAUCGUGUUCAUGUUCAUGAAUCAUGAUCCCUGAGCAAACAGUGUUCAUGUUCAUGAAUCAUGAUCCCUGAGCAAACAGUCACUGCAUCCCACACCUACCCUGGCACUCGUGAUUUAUACCCCCGCACCUGCCCCGGUGUCUCCGUCCUACUCCUCCGGCGAUUUAAACAGCAAACUCCGCGACGCCACAACCCACAAGUGCAUCAGCACCAACGAUCACAAUCGUACAACACGAGAGAGUGAGUAGAAGUGUAGUCGCUAGCUAGACUAGUGCAGCGCGGCGCCAUCGCCUCACACUGCCCCGGUGUCUAGCAAGGAAGUCAUGUAGAACCAUAUAGCCUCGCUCCUGCUCUGCCUCGUGCUCGUGGCGCACGGCGUGGCAGAGGUCUCACUUCUAGCCGCCGCCACCUUGGAGAAUGGCGCCGGUGUCAGGGAGGAGGACGAGCACGUCUGUCCCUACUUGGUUGCAUUGGACGCCAGGUUCUCCAAUACCUGGCAGGUUCUUCAAGGAUGAUCUCACCCGAGCUAUGAUCCUGUGAUGGUUCCUUCUCUGUGGAUGUCCAUCGCCCGCGCCUCGGUACAUCGGUAACUCUUUGGGUGAUCAGUUUGAUGAGGAACCGCGAGUGAACUAGAUUAUACUAGAGAUGUAUUCGAGAUGUAUUAAGUUGAUUAUUGGUUGUAAUUGAAAGAGAACCUUUUUGCCUCUUGAGAUCUAUUGGAGGACAAGCGCUUUUUUACUUUGUUGCUGGAAAAAAAUAAGCUUCUUAGUGUCGGCAGGUCCAUCAUUGCAUGAUUUUUGUUUUUUUGUUGUUGUAGCCUUUAGGAUAGGUUUUUAUUUCCAACAUCUGUGAUUUUUAAUCUUAUAUAGAAUCAUGAACACAGGAAAUGGCGUGGUCCGAUGACUAUAGGAUCCAUGCGUGCCAUUUGUGCUGGGAUGACAGGGGUAUAUGCGACCAUUAUCCUCACCUAGAUAACGAUACAUCCUUCACCGUCAAGCUGAAGGAUGACUUCCCGAUUAUUAUGGUCUGUAAAGACAUCAUGUAUUUUUUUAUUCAAGUAUGAUGUGUGCUUUUUUUGCUUUAGUUAACCUUUAAUUUUCUUGUGUAUAAUUCGACUAGUGGGUUCCCUGCCAUGCAAGAUUUGCUGUCUUGGACAAGUUUCACUUUAAAAAGAAGGACAAUACAGAGCAUGAGCAGAGCAUUUCGCUUUUGUUGUCAAGGUAAAAAAUGAUGAAGAACACACAUAUUUUGGAUGUUCUGAUGGGAGAGCAUUUUGCAAGGCAUAUGGGUUGAAUGAGGACAUGAAGAUUACCUUCGAUUUUGGUAAUGAUGAUGUCCGUGAUAAUAAUAUUGAAAUUUGGAUGCAUGCGGAGGAUGACUUGAUUCCAGUUCUACCUUCAGAUGUGUUUUGUCAACAAAUUCGUUAGGUAAUUUAUAUUGAAUAUUGAAAAGUAUCUUGUACUCAUCCCGAUUAAAUUUCUUUAUUUUCAAUUAUUAGCUUAUCUCCGUGCUACAAGAACUACACGGGAGAUAGUAGAUCAGACCUAUUACAGUUAUGGCUCCGACCUUACUUGGUUAGAGAAAAAUAAUUUCAUCUCAUUUUUUCAUGAUGUUGACAAUCAUGCUAAAAAUUACAUGACUGACAACGUUUAUUAUGGAUAUGUGCCACUAGUGCACCAGUUGAGCCCUUAUAACAUUACUUCAAACAAUUUUGUAAGAUUUUUUUACCAUUGCGUCACUAAUCCAUCUUUUUUAUACAUUAUUCUUAAGCAAAACUAGUUUUCUAACUAUAUUAUUAUUACUAACAGGUACUCCCGCCAGAGACCGUGCCUAAAUGGAUGCUUACCACCGAUGAUUUGCAAAUAAUUAGUUUACAGCCAACCCCGAUUAAUUACCGUGGUAAAUACAGGAUAUCUUAAACUGAAGACACUCUGAAAAUCAAAGGAUGGAGAAAUGCAAUACAAGCAUCCAUGAUACCAUUUGAAGAGGAAUACUUGUGCAUCCCAAGUUGGUGAUAGGUUGAUCUGUGUUCUUCACUGGCGUUCUCUCUGUGCGUAGCCGCGGCAAUUUUCUGCAACGUGCGGCAAAUAGGGUUUCCCCUUUGCUUCUGCGCCGCCUGCCAGAGGUAACGAGGAGGAUGGGCCGAGGAGGGGUUUGUUAAAGGAGGCGAGGAGCGCCACCGCACGUCUCGCCCUGGAGCGACACGAGGCCUUUUUUUGGUGCUAACUUUUAGUUUCGUUAGGCUUGCAAAAUGGUGGUAUGGUUCGUCGUACUUGAGAUAUAUACCUCUUCUAUUGUGUAACAUAAUUAAUUCAGGAAAGACAAAUUCUCUCCAACUGAUGUUGCUCCAUAUUUAUUAGGAUUUCUAUUUCUCGUCUAAAUCUAUGUUACAACGAAUGUAUUUUUUAAAGAACACAUAUACAAAUUUCCUUUACAUAUCCAUCAAGCAACCGACCAAAUGAGCACAUUAGGGCAAAGAUCUAGGCCAAGUGAUAACAUGAGUCAAGUCGUAAGUUGGGAGUUCGCCUUAAUUUUACAGGAAUUUCUAGAUGGGUGAUGUUCAACAUACAUUUCUUAGAUGAUAUUGAUCAUAUUUUCUUCUCAAAUGCGACAUUUCUUUUACUAUGAAAUUUUAUCUUACUAUCGUUGCCGAAACCGAAGAUGAAUCAUCUCUUCUGAUUUUCACUCCAAACUAUGCAUCCAAUGGUGUCUUGGUUUCCUCUGGUUUUCACUGCCAGCUCUAUCACUCCAAACUAGAUUUCUCAAACUAUUUGACAAUAAUUAAUUUCUUAAUUUAUAUUGACGUUCUUUCCUUUUAUUUCCAUUUCAAGCUCUGUCACGACAUCGAAUAAGGUUGAAGUGGCGGCAGAUUUCUUUUAGGGCCUUGAGCGAUUUCAAGAACUGGGCUUUGAGGCCCCCUAUAGUCACGAAAUACCAGCAAUGGAUUCACCAUGUCUCCCCCACUUACUUCAUAGUCACCUCCACCUGAUGUGUGGAACCGAUGCUCAGGGUAAACCACGGCUGGGCCCGCCCAUUUACAGAACACUGUAGCGAUACGUCGCAGAGGCGACCGAUUUGGGAGGUACUGUAGCGUUUUCGCAAGAUUACUGUAGUACUGGUUUCCCCCAGUUUUUCUUAUUUCCGUUCUGUUGUCUGAAGUAACCCGUAAAUUUUUAAUUUGAAUUUUUUUGGAAGUUUAGAACAUUUUUAGAAAAAAUGAGAACAAUGUUUGAAGUUCCUAACAUUUUUGGAGAACACUAACAAUCCUAAAAAAUGCAACAUUUUUUAAAUGCGACCAAAAUUUGUAAUGAGAACUUUUUAUGGAAUUUUGAAUAAGAAAACCACAAUUUUUUGAACUAAUGAGGAAAAAAAGGACAUUAUUUUACUUUUUUUCAACUUCUUUUUAAAAAUACUGAUAUUUUUUUGAAAUGCAAAAAUGUUCUGAAUAUAUGAACAAAAUUAUAAACCCAAACAUUGUUUUAUAUUUUAAACUUUUUAAAAAUACNNNNNNNNNNNNNNNNNNNNNNNNNNNNNNNNNNNNNNNNNNNNNNNNNNNNNNNNNNNNAGACAUCUUUUAAGUAUAUGAACAAAAUUUAGAAAUACUGACAUUUUAUGUAAUUUUAAACAUUCAAAAAAAUUCUAUCCAUUUUUUAAAAGAACGAAACAUUUUUGAAAAGGAAAAGUAAACUUGAAAAGAAAAAAUACAAAAAUAAAUAGAUAAAAAAAUGUCAAGAACUCAUGGAAGGUUCCUAAAACUUAUGAAAAAUGGCUUGGAACCAAGGUUCCGAAAACCGGGAUCACUGGAACGCUUUAGCGGGUCAUUGCUCGAUCGCCAACUCGUGCAUCAUAUAGGGUUUUCCCUGAAAACAAUAUAGGGGUUUCUCCUAUUGAUUCUUGAACAAACAUUCACCGCACCCAACCCUACAAAAAGUAAAAAUGAAAUCAUACCAUCCCAUGCCGCUCUAACUCGCACUCGCCUCAUUUACACACCUGCAGCUGCCCUGGUUUCUCCAUGACCCCAUCGUACUCCUAGUCGGCCCAUUUAAAACAUGAGCUCCACCGCAACCACAAGUGCCUCAAUAGCAGAGCAAGUGAGCAACGAUCUCACGCGCCCAACACAAUAGAAAGCGGGUCAAGAAAAACAUGUUUGUCGGCGUGGGACGCAUGGGAAACCUACUGGGUCUUACGGACGUCAGAGGCGGCUACGGUUGGGGUUUUGACAACAACUUUGCCGGCGUCUUCAUCGACGUCAUCAGUCUGAUCAAUGGCGUAAGGGGCGGCGUGGGGAGCCUGUCAGCGUUUUGUGGUGUCGGAGGAGCCCACGACAUCCCUUUCGGAGCUUUCGCCGGUGACAGCGGCCCAUUUGGCAGGCCGGCAGACGGGUACAGCGGUGGAGGAGCCGGCGGAGUCACCGCUAGGCUAUGGCGUCGUGGCCGAGCUAGCGAGGGCGUCGUGGUUCAUGCAUAUACCUACGUUACCCUAUCUAUGGGAAAUGCUUGGUGGAUCGCACUAGCUUAGCGUACGUACAUGCAUGGACCUAGGUUAUGUUCCUGAAGUUGCACUGGGUUCAGGCGCAGUAGUCCUAUUUUUCUACUGGUUUGUACGGCUGGCCACUGUGUGAGGCAAGAAGCUGGCCACUGUGUCUGUAGUUAAAAGGGAUUCAGGGUUGUGGUUGUGUUUGGUCGUAUGAACGGCUGUAUCCGACUAGCUAGCUAAAAUAGCUCUUCUCGUGAUGUUUUUUGUUUCUUGAACAGGUAGUCAAGUUAGCUUGCUCAACCUGUUCCAAACUCAAGUCCAGUUCAUGUGAAUUGUGUUUUCUGUUUACGUGGCAUUAUUAACAUCUGGAAAGACAAGGAAACCUCACUAAUUGUGAUCUAUGCAUGGCGUAGUCUGAGGAAAAAAAUCAAUCUAGCUGUGAGAUCACAAGUCACACAAAAAUAAUAAAAAUUGAAUUGAAGAGACAAAUGAUAUACAGAAAAUCGGAUACCUCAUAAACGAGAAGACGAAAAUGAAUUAUUCUUGUUGGUCCUCCCUACAAAAAAAAUCUAGUUGUUCUAAAAAAACACACUAGUCAUUCAAGGUUUCAAUCUAAAUCAUCGUGAUAAAAGUUGCCUGCCCUUCUACAUGUGAACUUUAUGAACUGAGGUGUUGAUUCUUGAACAAACAUUCAGAGCACCCUACCCUACAAAAAGUAAAAAUAAAAUCAUACCACCCCAUGCCGCUCUAACUCGCACUCGCCUCAUUUACACACCUGCAGCUGCCCUGGUCUCUCCAUGACUCCAUCAUACUCCUAGUCGGCCUAUUUAAAACACGAGCUCCACCGCAACCACAAGUGCCUCAAUAGCAGAGCAGCGAUCUCACGCGCCCAACACAAUAGAGAGCGGAUCGAGAACAUGUUUGUGGGCAUGGGAAGCAUGGGGAACCUACUGGGCCUCCCACCCGUCAGAGGCGGCUACGGUUGGGGCUCUGGCAAUAACUUUGCCGGUGUCUUCAUCGGCGUCACCAGUCUGAUCACUGGCGUAGGGGGCGGCGUGGGGAGCCUGUCAGCGUUUUGUGGCAUCGGAGGAGCCGGCGGCAUCCCUUUCGGAGCUUUCUCCGGUGGCAGCGGCCCAUUUUGCGGGCUGGCGGACGGGUACAACGGUGGAGGCGCCGGCGGAGCGAGGGCGCCCUGGUUCAUGCAUAUACCGAUGUCACAAUGUCUUGCGUGGACCUAGGUUAUGUUCAUGAAGUGGCACUGGGUUCAGGUGCAGUGGUCCUAUUUUUGUACUGGUUUGUACGGCUGGCCACUGUGUCAGGCAAGAAGCUGGUGUGUCUGUAAUUAGAAGGGAUUCAGUGUUGUGGUUGUGUUUGGUCGUGUGAACUACUGUAUCUGACUCUCGAAACAGGCUUUUGCCCCGUUUUGUCUUACAAAGCAACCACUUCUGGUACAUCCAACGAUAGGUGCUGGGACGGAAACAGCGCAGACACGUUAAAAGAAACAACAAAGAAAGAGUAAAAGAAACAAAUGCUGACAACGGCGGAUCACCGAAAACGGAGAAGCCUCGCGACCGCUGCGCCGACCUAAGAACACCCACCAAGCUCCUAGACUCCGAGACGCCAGUACCAAUCAACACCUCCAAGAAGGGACGAGGCGAUGACGACGCUGCUGCUAAGGGAUUCCUCCGAUAUGCGGCGAGGGGAAAGGAAGGGUAGCCCCGACGCCCUUCAGGAAGGUCUGGCGGAACCCGCAGGCGCCACCGCGUCGGUGUCGCCCAGGCCGACUGGGAUUUCUCCCGGUCCCAACCUCCACCUCAGGCGCAUCGGAGCCCGCCACCAAACCGACCACAACCCCGCGCCAACACAGACUUGAAGCUUCCACGCCGGCUCACCAGAGCAACGCAAGGAGGGGUCUGCACGACGAGGAAGAGGAGCUGAGGCUAGGGGCAUCAUCACCAACGACACACAGGGGGGCACAACCUCCACUGUCAAGGACGGUAACCAACAGGACGCGAUAGCGGGAGCAAACAAGGCCCGUGGCCAAAGGCCCGGCCGGGGCUUCAGAUGCCCGUAAAGCUCCCGCCGUCGCGCUGCAGAAAGCACGCCGUCUGCGACGCCGCCCCCCGUCCAAGCUGCUCCUCCACACCUCCGCACAGGGGGCAUGAUGGCCGCGGCAACACGACCAGUCUGCCUCGUCGCCAAGUGGAAUCCCCACCACCAUGCGCACCGCCGGCCACCUCCUCCAAGGCGCCGGACCGCCCGCGACGGAAGAGACCAACCGCAACCGCCGAGAGACCGAAGCCGGACCCCAACCCCAUUCACGCCGUCACCGCCAACCGCCGACCUCACAACGUGCAACCAUGGUGGGAGAGAUGGGAGGUGUCUCCUUCCGCUCCUAGCCCGACAUCAGCCACCUGGCCUGGGUGAACGCCCCCACAUUAGGGGCAUCCACUCCUGCGUCCCCGACAAUCAUCGUCGACUGUGGGGAACACAACCUAGUAGCUGCCGACAGCCACCACCUAGCAAGCCCCGGCAUGGUCCACAACCAGCCCGAGACAAACUCACACGCCACCACAGCAAUAGUCAGUGUCGUCGAUCCGUCCGUACAAUAGCAGCAACACGGGCGCACUCGGACCGACGUCACAAAGGAGCAACCAGAAAGGGGCACUAACACGGCGGCAAGCACCACCGCGGACUAGGUCGGCCCACUGCCCGUGCACCGCCGACCGCCAUCCUUCGCCACAGACCAGAUCCGCACCGCCACCUGCAGUCCCAGAUCGACCGCUGCCAACCGAGGCAGCAGCGCCGCCCCACCGCCGUCCGGGAAGCCCCGAGCAGCACCACCGCGACGGGCGCGCGCUGCCUCGCCGGAUCCACCGGCCACACACACCCGUCGCCCCCGAGCACUUGGCCCUGCGCCGUCAGCUACGUCCCGCACCAGAUCUGGCCGGGAAGAGGCCAACCCGCCACCACUGAGGACCUAGUAGCCCACCACGUUCUUGUGUUGCCUACCUGUCAUUGGUCCAACUACUGUAUCCGACUAGCUAGCUAAAAUAGCUCUUCUCGUGAUGUUUUUUGUUUCUUGAACAGGUUGUCAAGUUAGCUUGCUCAAGCUAUUCCAAACUCAAGUCCAGUUCAUGUACAUUGUGUUUUCUGAUUGCGUGGCAUCAUUAACAUCUGGAAAGACAAGGGAAACCUCACUAAUUGCGAUCUAUGCAUGGCGUAGUCUGAGGAGAAAAAAAAUCUAGCUGCGUGAUCACAAGUCACAUAAAAAAUAAUCAAAAAUGAAUUGAAGAGAUAAAACGAUAUACGAAAAAUCAGAUACCUGAUAGACGAGAAGAAGAAAAUGAAUUUUUCUUGUUGGUCCUCCUACAAACAAAAUCUAGUCGUUCUAAAAAAAACACACUAGUUAUUCAAGGUUUCAAUCUAAAUCAUCGUGAUAAAAGUUGCCUGGCCUUCUACAUGUGAACUUUAUGAACUGAGGUUAGAGAUCGCUUGGCCCAGCAGCAUUCAUGUUGUUGGCCUUAUUAUUUUGAAACGUAGUAAAAGUUUUGUCUCGUCUCAUUAGUUAAAAAGGGUUUAGAAAUAAGUACAAGAAUUCAAAACACAAACGCAAAAAUGCCUUCGGGAUCGCUGGAACGCCUUAACGAGUCGGCCUAGCUCAUUGCUCAAUCGCCGACUCGUACGUCAUAUAGGAGUUUCCCUAGAAACAAUAUAGGGGUUUCUCCUCCUGAUUCUUGAACAAACAUUCACAACACCCUACCCCGCAAAAAAUAAAAGCAAAAUGACAGCGCCCCAUGCCGCUCUAACUCGCACUCGCCUCAUUUACACCCCUGCACCUGCCCUGGUCUCUCCAUGGCUCAAUCGUAUUCCUCGUCAGCCUAUUUAAAACCACAAGCUCCACCGCACCACAAUUGUCUCAACAGCAGAGCAGCGAUCUCAUGCGCCCAACACAAUAGAGAAUGGAUCGAGAAGAACAUGUUUUUGUCGGCAUGGGAUGCAUGGGGAACCUACUGGGCCACCCGGCCCUCGGCUGCGGCUACGGUUGGGGGGGCUGUGGCAACAACUCCGUCGGCAUCUUCAUUGGUGUCACCAGACCGCUCGAUGGCGUCGGGGCGGCGUGGGAAGCGUGACAGCAUUUUGUGGUGUCAGAGGAGCCGGCGGCAUCCAUUUCGGAGCUAUCGCCGGUGGAAACGUCCCAUUUGGCGGGCUAGGAGACGGGUACGGCGAUGAAGGUGUUGGCCGCGUCACGCUUUGAGUUUGUCAUCGUGGCCGAGCUAGCGAGAGUUCAUGCAUAUAUAUAUCUAUGUCAUCAUGGUGGAUCACGCUAGCUUAGAGUACGUAGAUGCAUGGAUCUAGGCAGUAGUGAAUCUAAGAAGGUUCUUCAACACGCUUGAGCCCCCUUCAAAAAUUAGAAAAUAAAAUUUAUUAUUAUUCAUCAUUAAAAUAUAUUUUUUGCACUAGUACAAAGUGUCUUAAGCUUAGUACAAAGUAUCAUAAAAAUAAAUGCUUUAAGCUUAGUACAAUUUUAUACUAAAACUAGUACAAAGUUAAGACAGUUAUUUUGAGACGGAGGGAGUAUAAUGUAGUGCAUAUAGUUUCUUUUAAAAGUCAAACAUUACAAAAUUUAAUUAUAUAUUUAGAGAAAAUAGGUACGUCUAAAAUAUUUUUUUCGAAAUGGUAGUUAUCUUGCUUCAUUAAAAAGAAAAGAGUUGCUCAGUUAAUUAUGAAAAACCGAGGGAAAACCAGGUUGUCCAAUUAAUUAUGGAAAACCGGACAAAAACCAUUACAAUCGUUGAUGAGCAGCACACAAGAAGAGCCUACGCACACCACUUCAAGGAGGGUCUCAGCGAGACAGCACGCAAGCGUCAUCGUCAUCACUCCUCCCCUAGAGGCGUCCUCGCCAUCCCUACACUAUGAGCAAACGUCUUCGACUCCGCCGUAGGCGAUCGUCGACUCGACCCACACUCAAGAGGACACGUGAAGCUGCAUGAAAAUCUAUGCCAAAAACUCAACCACCCACGCCCAAACGACGCAGCUCCAACUCUAACGAAGAGUUCUGCAGGACAAAACCAGGCACGGCUGGCGCCACGGGAGAUCGUCGAACGUUCUACCUGCAGCCAGUCAUCGUAUACCACAGGGGGCCCCGCCGCCGCAGCUUCGACUCCAUAGCAACAACAAACCGAGACAAGACCGUGGACACGCCGAAGAAGAGCCGACUACCUCAACCAUUGCCGUGUCGCCCACAUCACUCCCACCAUAUCGUUGCAAUAGAAAUCUGGACACCACACCCGCCACCAACCGCCAUCCACCGGUCCCACUUGCCAACGCCAAGCUCCCAAGACGAAGCCCUCAACAGGGAAUAUGACACCAAGGUGCCGCCAUCGUCCGAUCCUAGAUCAAGGUUUCCCUCGGAGAGGCCGUACUGGCCACAUCCGUGCAGGAGGGGUGGGACAAUGAAGCAAUGAUGCCUCUAAAAAGGUCAACGACGGCCACAACCGUCGUCAUCACUAGUCAAGGCACAAGGCCAAGACAUGGUUUUCACCCAGCUCCACACCACCUCAACCGCACAUCAUCCCGCAUUGACGUCGACAAGCCCACCAAACAUCACCAACUUGGUACAAGGGUUAAGGUUUUCCGGUACCAAAAGGGAAAUACUAUUUUCUUACAACUUCAAGUGAGUGUUACUACACACAUUCUAUUUUCGCUUACUCGAUGUUUUUAUAAGUGUAUAAUUGACUCGUUAUGCGUGCGCAUGUUUCACUUUAUUUUGUUAAUCAUUGUACCUGACAAGGGAGAAGUAAUAGUUAUGGACCCGAAAUGCACACCCCUCGCCGAAUGGACGAACAUGCAGGAUUGCCUCCAGAGAUAAUUUCAAUCAUUAUGGCAGUAUAUCGCCAACUUCUCGUUCAUUUCCUGAUAGCAAGGAAUUAAUAUAGAACUCCUUUAUUCAUUUUCUUUUCUUGGCAGGGCUUGGAAACGGUUCACCGUCAAGGCUCGGGGUGAUUGGAAGUCAGAGCUUACAUUUAAACAAAUAGAUUUAAGUAACUACUAGCUAGAUCCGCGCAUCUCUUUAUUCUAGUUUCAAUACCAUUAUAAUUCUUGAUUAUGUUUUUGAUUAAACUCUCUUCUCGUAAAGUGCUUGAGGCAGGAACAUGGGAACAAUUUAUGUGGAUACUAUGUUUGCGUGUUCAUUCGUCAGACGACCCAUGAGAAGGGCAAAAAUCGGGACAUAAAAAAAAUUAAAGUACGAUAAACAAUACUCACAACUUGAUUUUAUUAUCGUGAAUUGUGUUCGGUUUCAUUGAUAUAUAUAUUGACCCAUUCUUUAAAUUAGAUCUAACAGUUGUGGGACGGUCUUCUACCACAGGAACGUGUACGAGCAAUUCAAGAGGAAAUUGCUGGAUUCUUAGAUGCAGAGGUCCUAGGUGUGAAGGGAGAAUAUUAUUGCCCGUCGAUGUGAAUGGUAUGAAAUGUUAUAGUGUAAAAAAGACAUAUGUGCAUAUGUAUAACUCGUCUCUACAUUUUGUAAUAUGUUCGACAAAGCACGACGGGUGAGAUGAUGUGCAAUAUAGUUAUUCUUUUAUUGUUGUGUAUGUACCAUCCAAUUUAAUGUAAAAUACGAAUUAAAAAUUUCCCAAAACAAAUAAAUGGGAAAAUUGGGGGCAGCAAAAUAGCCCCAUCCAAUUUAAUGCAAAAUCCUAAACCCUAAAAAUUGCUUAGAAAACAACGAAAAAAUAGCCCAGGUUCGUAAUACGAACCGGGACUAAUACCCCUCCUCCCUCGCUCCCAGCCCCGUCACGUGAAAGGUCUUUAGCCCUGGUUGAUUAGUCCCGGUUCGUGAACUGGGACUAAUGGCCCAACCGAACCGAGGCUGAAGACCUUUUUUUACUAGCUAGUGUCUGCUACCUCCCGUCGUUUCUUCUAGAUUAAUAUCUCAGGGUUGUUUGAUGGGCAUAAAUAAUCAGCUUAAUAGCAACCACUAGACCAAGAGAACAAAGGUUAGCUAUGCGGCUAGCCCACACGCACGGGUUGUAGGGCCAUUCUGAUCCAACUCCCGACCAAAACUAAUGGAGCCGUCCCAACUCUCCAAUCCGGGACUGGUGCCAUGUUGAGUAUUGAGGAACCGAGGAACCGUUGUAAAAAUUAACAGCUAUCGUAUUGCUAAGCUCACAACAUUGUCAAAUUUAAUGGUUUGAGCUCCUCUGAUUUUCGCUCUCAAUUUUAAGUGGAUCGAACAAUUUACAUUAUCCAUAAUCUGGUGGCAUAUAGCUCAUGUUGCAAGGCUGUAAAGUUAUUAUUAUGUUUAGGCAUUUAUAGAAAAAUUUCUCUCACAAACAAAUAAUCUCUUCUCAGUCUGAGGACUAAGACUGACCAUAGUGGAAGUAACUUCAACAGUAAUAUAGGUCCAACUCAUCAAAUUUACCUACGUGGCCGUGAAUUGAUAAGGAGAAAGGCAAUUUGAGCAAGUUAACUAGUUACGGUAACAUCACAUAUUCCAAUAUAAUAUGAAUGUAUAACCUAAUAAAUGAAGUUUUGUAUGACAUCACACUUAUGUUACUACCACUAUGAAGGUCAGAGCCGUACCUUUGAAAUCCGAGGCCCAGUGCAAAAUCGAAAUUAGGCCCUAUAUUAUGAAAACAUAAAUGCUACAGUUUUUUUUUUCAACGAAUUCACAUGUUAUCAUAAAAAAACACCUCUUGGCAAAAAGGAAUAUAGACAGAACAAAAAAUAUCAGAACAGCUAGAAACAAAUUAGAGGGGUAAAAGGUUGGAGACCACAAACAACAACACAUGAGAUUAAAUCGCUCUACUAAAAACCAUGCAGUGAUGAGAAACACAAAUACACAGAGAGACACGAGGUUAGCCUGAAGGGUUUCCUUCUCAUUUAUUUAGCUCAUAAAAGCUCAUUAGUACCCAAUCCCUUGACCAGUUAUACUAAUCUCUGAUUUUUGGGCCCUAGAAUUUGGAUGCCUUGUACAACCGCUCGGUUAAGAUACGGGCUUAAUGAAGGUAGUAACAUGGCGAAGGGUAAUAUCACUUAUAUGUAUAUUAAGAGUGUAUGUUUCUCUUCACUAUGGUUAGUCUAACUAUACAAACUGGCACCAAGGUUUGAUUGUGAGGUAUUCUUAGUAUGGACUCAGACUAUCUACACAGAAGCUCAGUCUUCGACUACACAAGUAAUGCAGCGACAAAUUCUCCAUCUAAGGCGCCUACUUCGUCCUCUCGCCUACCUUCACUUCUCCGAAAUAAUCACUCUUCAUAUGGACUCUGGUAUAAAUGUUCACCACAUUGCAUCCACACUCGCAUGUGCAAUAAUGUUAUGUGUAUUGUUAGGUGACAUCGCUGGCCAUAGUUGAUUGUAAGGUACCAACGUUGUGUGGCAUUACCAAUGCUUCCUAAUCCUCUGUCGCUCACCAUCAAUAUAAUAGUGGUUGACGGUCAAUCCUUGCUCACCAUAGUAUCAAAUUAACUGGGUCUAAGAAUCCUGAGAGCUCCAUGGUCUAACCUAUUCAUGUGACCAUCCUAUAGAUAUCUACCACAUAUGGUUGCUAAUAUAGCCAUGACCAUGCCUCACAACAACCUCCUUAGAGAGUACCUAAUGCAUUUAUUUCGUAGAUGUUUGAUGUCCAUCAUUAUUCAUGGACAUAUCUUGAUUGGUGCAAAUAUAAGUCUAAUUGACAUGAAUGCGAUACAUCCAUUGUCUUGCUUUUGGGUAGCUUCGAGCCAUGAUUUACUUCAUCGAUUCCUAUAAAUUUUGAGAAAAUGAUAUAUAGAGCUUAUGUGCAAGUUCUUGGAAGUAUCAAAUUCAAGUGUAUUGGAGGUGCACAUUACUACAUAUGCACAUCUCCCUUACGCCAUAUUGCGAGAAAUAUUGCAAGGUAAAGCAAAAGACGUCAUAGUUUAUUUUAGGGGAAUUCACUUGCACAUCGUCUAACAUGAGGUUAAGAAGCUCAUACGAGUGUUGUAUUAGCUUAGAGAUCACAUAUAACUUAAUUCGGUUGAAAUUGUGUACCACCAAGUCUAAAGUGUUAUUGGUCGUCUAUGUGAAGUGAAUAUCUCUCCAUACUAAUUACAAUAUACUUCUCUUAUAAAUCCAGAUCUUUGUUCUAAUGAACAUAAGAUAUAGACUUGAAAUUACUGUCCUUUUGAGCACAUAGAAAGGAUUGACCUAAGAUUAUCCAGCUAGCGAUAGUUCAAAGAAGCGCGACGGGAUAAUAAGUUUGCCAUUCUGCCCAUAUGAAUGAAAUCGUAAACUGUGAGAUCACCUUUUGUGGUAAUUUCGAUUUUGAUGCUAUUUCAUGUCGAUUUAUCAAAUGCUACAUGUAUUUUACCUAAACAUGGUGUUAAUUUUAUUUUUAUCGUUGAUAGAAAAAAAUAGUCAAAUAUUUCAAGUUCUCCUAUAACAAGCUAGGUGUACAUUUUGUGUUGAGGAGAGAAUUGAUCUCUAGAUACUUGUCUAACUUGAAGUGAUGUUAUUUGUGAUAGAGGGGUGAAUAAGGUUCAAAGUAUCCGCUGCUGAUUUUCUUUUACCAAUAGUUGAUAUUACCUUUAGUUUCCUUCAAUUUUGACCAUAAACUCUACUGGAUUAAACAAUGUAGAUAGUGACAAAAAAGAGAUUGGGCCUCAGGCCUUUCGAAACAAAUUUAGUUUGAGGGGAUCACGCCCAAGCGCAAAAUUUAAAAACCUACUCUUUAAAGAGGACAACCAACACAUUUUCCAUACUAACCCCAACUUGGGAAUAUCCUAAUUUUUGUUAGUAGUAUAGAAUAGUGAGAAUCCUAUUUAUCGCUGAUUCUAGUACGUUGCCGUUGCAUCGCAUAGGGGCAACCAAGCGUCCGAUGAUGUGGGCGGUCCACUUGAUAUAUUUUUAUCUACGAGGAUACCGGUUUUUGAACUUAGGAUUCAAAAACCUAUCCCUGAUUUUUGGGCUGCCGCUCUGAACAUAGGAUUCAAAAAACUAUCUAUGAGGGGUGAAUAACCUCUUCCCCAGGGCCAGGAACCUCCCAAAAGGUUCCUGAAUUGAUUUUUUUAUAUGAUGUCUUCCUUUUAUUCUCUUUUUUCAGUUUCCUUUUUCCUGUAUUCCCUUUUUUAUUUUCUAAAAUUUCAAAAAAACUUCAAAAAAAUUGGACUUUCAAAACAUUUUAUAGUUUUAUAAGUAUAUUCAUAAUUCCAGAAAAUAAUUGAAUUUAUCAGAAUUUCUUCACAUAUUGAAAACGUCCAUAUNNNNNNNNNNNNNNNNNNNNNNNNNNNNNNNNNNNNNNNNNNNNNNNNNNNNNNNNNNNNNNNNNNNNNNNNNNNNNNNNNNNNNNNNNNNNNNNNNNNNNNNNNNNNNNNNNNNNNNNNNNNNNNNNNNNNNNNNNNNNNNNNNNNNNNNNNNNNNNNNNNNNNNNNNNNNNNNNNNNNNNNNNNNNNNNNNNNNNNNNNNNNNNNNNNNNNNNNNNNNNNNNNNNNNNNNNNNNNNNNNNNNNNNNNNNNNNNNNNNNNNNNNNNNNNNNNNNNNNNNNNNNNNNNNNNNNNNNNNNNNNNNGGAAUAUUUAAAAAAUUUGUGAAAGAAUUUCAAUUCUUAGAAGGUAUUAAUAUUUGUAAACCUUAGUUUUUUGACACGCGAACAUUUUUGAAGAUUUGAUAUCAUUUUAAUCUAGUAGCCUCAUGUGUCUACAUUCAAAUUUUGAAACCACUUUUAAAUUUUUAAACGCUUUUUUUAAUUUUAAUAUUUUCUAAAGUCAAGAACAGAUGUCUAAAAGCACGAUCAUCUUUCUAAGUCCGUAAACAUUUUGUACAUUCAUUAUUUUUUCAAAAUGUGAAAAAAGAUAACACAAGAUAUGUUUUUUUCAUCUGUUGCUAAUUACCGGAGUCCAAAGCAAAAAAGCGAGAGCUACAUGCCCGCGGGGAUCAUAGCCCCUUCGUGGGUGAUUUCCAUUACUCUACGCUGCCCCCAAAUUUGUAGCCUCAUGCCCCUCUCCUUCCUCUACUGGAACAAAAUUCGGCUUAUGGGGUGUGUUGGCCAUCAGAUCUGUCAUAAUCUAGUAGUUGAGCAUCGUCUUUUACUUUUGCAACAAAAGUCUUGUUGCACAAUCAUUUGCAACAGAGGAUGUGCUGCAACAAGGUCAUGUUGCCUUUUUCUUCUUCUUCGUUUUUGCAACAUCGAUGAUGUUUCAGAAGAACUUGUGCAGUGUUGUAGAACUUUUCGCAAUGGAAAUGAUGUGCAGAAACAUCGCCGCUUUGCCGAUAGAUGUCGUGGGAGCAAAUCCUUCGUUCACCACCGCUGUAUGGAACAAAGCCAAUGUUGCAAAAAGCCACAUCAAAAGAUCUUGUUGCGAAAAAGAAGCAUCUACAUGUUUGAGCCCGACCGUGGCCAUGACCGUGGGGAAGCUCAAGCUUGGGCCCACCCCCUUCGCACCAUGCGCGUGCGCCCUAGCCGCGGCCAUGCCUCCACAACACAGUGCAUGAACACGUGUGAGCUUCACCUAGGCAUGGCCGCUGCAGGUCAAGCUGGUAUAAAUCCACCAUGGAUAAUUACUAUAUGAGCGUUUGGAGAUGGGCCAAUUUUAAUCCUCACAGAGAUUAUAUGGGUCAAAGAGCUUAUCCAGUGGUUAGGACGGUGACGAAGGAUAUGAGACAACAUUACCCGUAACCGUCAUUGGCCUUACCCGUGAAAGGCCACACAUAUAGGCCCUAAAACCAGUAGACGUUAGAUAAUUCUCGUCCACCCACCCAAAUUUCAUCCCAUCGCAUCUAUUUUCCUUAAAAAUUCCAAAGAAAACCAUAAUGUAGCUACAAGAGAACCCCAAAUGACCUUAUAUUUUGCUUGUUGUGUUGAAUUGAGGUUUUUUUUUCUCCUGAG
rnacentral:lncRNA from 1 species